rnacentral:rRNA from 1 species
GACGAACGCUGGCGGCGUGCUUAACACAUGCAAGUCGAACGGAAAGGCCCUGCUUUUGUGGGGUGCUCGAGUGGCGAACGGGUGAGUAACACGUGAGUAACCUGCCCUUGACUUUGGGAUAACUUCAGGAAACUGGGGCUAAUACCGGAUAGGAGCUCCUGCUGCAUGGUGGGGGUUGGAAAGUUUCGGCGGUUGGGGAUGGACUCGCGGCUUAUCAGCUUGUUGGUGGGGUAGUGGCUUACCAAGGCUUUGACGGGUAGCCGGCCUGAGAGGGUGACCGGCCAAAUUGGGAAUGAGAUAAGGCCCAGAAUCCUAAGGGAGGCAGGAGGGGGGAAUAUUGCACAAUGGGCGGAAGCCUGAAGCAGCAACGCCGCGUGCGGGAUGAAGGCCUUUGGGGUGUAAACCGAUUUCGCCUGGGAAGAAGCGUGAGUGAAGGUAAUGGGUAAAGAAGCACCGGCUAACUACGUG